AGGCAAUGUUCCACUUCUCCUCCCCAUCCACCAACCCACCACAUACCCUAGGUCAGACUUCUUGGCGUGCAGUUCAUGUUGGGAGGGAAAUGAAUGCCAUGUGGUGCCUGAAGAGUUAUAACAGAACCAAGUGACAAGGAAAAAAUGAAGCAGAAAUCUAAGAGAUACAAUGGGCAGGAGACCAGAAACAUCAGCAUCUCGCCAAGACACCGACUGAACCUGGACUGUGAGGGGAAGAGGACGCACACGUCUUCCGCAGUGCGCGACCGCAGCCCCAA